AUGCCCGGGCGGCAGCGAGAACGUGAACUCCUUUGUUGCUUUCCAUGCGUCCAACCUACCCCCACCCUCAACGCUCACGGGCGCCUCCACCAUGCUCGAACCAAAUCGCCCAGCUCGCCCACUGUACCACUCACUCACUGUCCAUCUACCUCACUAGAUCUGUCCAUCGCCGUCGAUCGCCACCUCCAUAUCACUCCACCAUUGCCAUCCCACUGCCACUCCAACGGUCCAGCCCAUCCCAUCCCGGCAGCGUCAGAAAUGGCGGCUCCGACCACCGUGCUCCUCCUCCUCCUGCUGCUGCUCUGCGCCGUCGUCGGGCCGCACUCGGCCUACGCGGACGCGCUGCCGGAGCCGGUGAACGAGGAGGUGCUGGGGCUGGUGGUGUUCCGCUCCGCCCUCACGGACCCCUCCGGCGCCCUCGCCGCGUGGGCCGAGUCCGACGCCACGCCCUGCGGCUGGCCGCACGUGGAGUGCGACCCAGCCACCGCCCGCGUGCUCCGCCUCGCGCUCGACGGCCUCGCCCUCUCCUCCGCCUCCGGCCUGCCCCGCGGCCUCGACCGCCUCCCGCGCCUCCAGUCGCUCUCCCUCGCCCGCAACAACCUCUCCGGCGCCCUCCGCCCCGGCCUCUCCCUCCUGCCCUCCCUCCGCCUCCUCGACCUCUCCCGCAACGCCCUCCACGGCCCGCUCCCCGACGACCUCCCCCUCCUCGCCUCCCUCCGCUACCUCGACCUCUCCGGGAACGCACUCUCCGGCCCGCUCCCGAGCUCCUUCCCGCCCGCGCUCCGCUUCCUCGUGCUCUCCGGGAACAGGCUCUCCGGCGACGUGCCCGCCGGGCUCGCCGGGAGUCCGUUGUUGCUCCACCUCAACCUCUCCGGGAACGAGCUCUCCGGCGCCCCCGACUUCGCCAACGCGCUCUGGCCGCUCUCGCGGCUCCGCGCGCUUGAUUUGUCAAGAAACCGCCUGUCCGGCCCUGUGCCGGCCGGCGUCGGCGCGCUGCACAACCUCAAGACCCUCGACCUCAGCGGCAACCGCUUCUCCGGCGCCGUCCCCGAGGACAUCGGCCUCUGCCCGCACCUCGGCGCCGUCGACCUCAGCGACAACGCCUUCGACGCCGAGCUCCCGGACUCCAUGGCGCGCCUCGCCUCGCUCGUGCGCCUCUCCGCGGCCGCCAACCGGCUCUCCGGCGACGUGCCCGCGUGGCUCGGCGGCCUGGCCGCGCUGCAGCACCUCGAUUUAUCGGACAACGCGCUCACCGGCGCCCUGCCGGACUCGCUCGGCGACCUCAAGGACCUCAGCUACCUCAGCCUCUCCAAGAACCGGCUCGCCGGCUCCGUCCCGGAGGCAAUGUCCGGCUGCACCAGGCUCGCCGAGCUGCACCUCAGGGGCAACCAGCUCAGCGGCAGCAUCCCCGACGCCAUGUUCGACGUCGGGCUCGAGACGCUGGACAUGUCGUCCAACGCGCUCACCGGCGUGCUGCCGUCGGGGUCGACCAGGCUGGCCGAGACGCUGCAGUGGCUCGAUCUCUCCGGCAACCAGCUCACCGGCGGCAUCCCCGCCGAGAUGGCGCUCUUCUUCAACCUGCGGUACCUCAACCUCUCCCGCAACGACCUCCGCACGCAGCUGCCGCCGGAGCUCGGCCUGCUCCGCAAUCUGACGGUGCUCGACCUCCGCAGUAGCGGGCUGUACGGGCCCGUGCCCGGCGACCUCUGCGAGUCCGGCAGCCUCGCCGUGCUCCAGCUCGACGGCAACUCUCUCGCUGGCCCCAUCCCCGACAACAUCGGGAAGUGCUCCUCCCUCUACCUACUGAGCAUGGGGCACAACAGUCUGACGGGACCGAUACCGGCGGGCAUGGGGGAGCUGAAGAAGCUGGAGAUUCUACGGCUGGAGAACAACAACCUCACCGGCGAGAUACCGCAGCAGCUGGGCGGGCUGGAGAGCCUCCUGGCGGUGAACAUCUCGCACAACCGGCUCGUGGGGCGGCUGCCGGCGUCCGGCGUGUUCCAGAGCCUGGACGCGAGCGCGCUGGAGGGCAACCUCGGCGUGUGCAGCCCGCUGGUCGCCGAGCCGUGCGUGAUGAACGUGCCCAAGCCUCUCGUGCUCGACCCCAACGAGUACCCGCACGGCGGCAACAACAACGACAGUGACCUCGCGGCGAACGGCGACGGCAGCGGCGGGGAGGCGGUGCCGAGGAAACGGCGGUUCUUGAGCGUGUCCGCCAUGGUGGCCAUCUGCGCGGCGCUGUCCAUCGUCCUCGGGGUUGUGGUGAUCGCGCUGCUCAACGUGUCGGCGCGGCGGCGGAGGGGUGUCGGAGGCGGCUCCGCCGAUGGGCUGUUCCAGGGGAAGGAGCUGGAGCUGGAGAGCAGCGUGGUGUCCGGCAGCUCGACCAAGUCGAGCAAGCUCGCCGCCACGGGGAAGAUGGUGACGUUCGGGCCGGGGAGCAGCCUCCGCACGGAGGACUUCGUGGGCGGCGCGGACGCGCUGCUGAGCAAGGCGACGGAGAUCGGGCGCGGCGGCGCGUUUGGGACGACUUACCGGGCGUCCGUGGGCGAGGGCCGCGUGGUCGCCGUGAAGAAGCUGUCGACGGCGAGCGUGGUGGAGUCCCGCGACGAGUUCGACCGCGAGGCGCGCGUGCUGGGCAAGGCGCGGCACCCCAACCUGAUGCCGCUCAAGGGCUACUACUGGACGCCGCAGCUGCAGCUCCUCGUCACCGACUACGCGCCGCACGGCAGCCUGGAGGCGCGGCUCCACGGCAAGGACGGCGGCGCGGCGUUCCCGUCGCUGACGUGGGCGGAGCGGUUCAGGGUGGUGGCCGGCACGGCGAGGGGCCUGGCCUACCUGCACCAGUCGUUCCGGCCGCCGGUGAUCCACUACAACCUGAAGCCGAGCAACAUCCUGCUGGACUCGCGGUGCAACCCGCUGAUCGCCGACUUCGGGCUGGCGCGGCUGCUCCGGAAGCCGAAGCAGCAGCAGCAGCAGCCGGACGGCAACGGCGGCGUGGGCGCGAUGGGCAGCUGCCGGUUCAUGCAGAGCGCGGCCAUGGGGUACGCGGCGCCGGAGCUGGCGUGCAGCAGCCUGCGGGUGAACGAGAAGUGCGACGUGUACGGGUUCGGCGUGCUGGUGCUGGAGCUGGUGACGGGGCGGCGCGCGGUGGAGUACGGGGAGGACGACGUGGCCGUGCUGACAGACCAGGUGCGUGUGGCGCUGGAGCAGGGGGGCGGUGGGGACGACGACGCCGCGGCGGAGAGACUGGUGGACCCGGCGCUGCGCGGCGAGUUCCCGGAGGAGGAGGCGCUGCCGGUGCUGAAGCUGGGCGUGGUGUGCACGUCGCAGAUCCCGUCCAACCGGCCGUCCAUGGCCGAGGUGGUCCAGAUCCUGCAGGUCAUCCGGGCCCCCUCGCUGCCCGGCUGCACGGCGCAACUUUUCUGA
rnacentral:rRNA from 1 species